rnacentral:rRNA from 1 species
AACGUAGGUGGCGAGCGUUAUCCGGAUUUACUGGGCGUAAAGCGUGUGCAGGCGGCUUAUCAAGUGGUGUAUGAAAUAUCCAGGCUCAACCUGGAGGGGUUAUGCCAGACUGGUAGGCUAGAGUGCGAGAGAGGGGCGUGGAAUUCCGGGUGUAGUGGUGAAAUGCGUAGAGAUCCGGAGGAACCCCAGAGGCGAAGGCGGCGCCCUGGCUCGACACUGACGCUCAGGCACGAAAGCGUGGGGAGCAAACAGG